GGAGAUAAAGGAUUCUUGCAUCCUCUGAAAUGCGCCGCUGCUGUCUUAACUUUACCAUAUUUGCGCUGAAGUUGGAAGUUGAGGGGAGGUACGUUCUUGUUUUUGGUUGUCAAUUUCUUGCAUUUGAUUUAUAUUUCCUUGAGCUUUUCUCUAAUUUUUUUUCCCUUUCAUUUCAUCUAUUAUGUCAGUUUGUCUCAACUCCUAAACACCGAUCUUCACUUGACUCUCUCUAUUUGUCCAUAAAAUAAUUAUCUGUUCAUCUCUAUGUAAUCCCAGUAACUCUUUGUGCUGUAUUUGCUCUGUCUUGUGUGUCUUUUUGGAGUAGAUUAAAAAUAUCAGUUUUCUUGAUUUUUCCCCCUUAUUGAUUGCGGCAGCAAUUUGUUGUCAUAUCCCUUGUUCUGAGGUUGAAAAAGCAAAAAAAAAAAUGUAACUAAACUGGCUAUGGAUACCAUUCUUCCGUUAUUAACGAGAUCAUUAAAGAUCUAAUGAAACACUUCAUUUACAGAAGGUUUUGAGGUUCCAGGAUGAGGCUGAGCAGUUGAAGAACAAAAAAACACAGCAGAAAUCGGUUGAUGAUGCCCUUGAAGAGGGGAAGAGUAGUACUAGAAUGUUCCCUAAGUGGCUGAGGCAAAUAACAAGUGAACAACAAGUAUUUAAUCCUUUCAAUUUGAGGACUGGCUACCAGCUGUGCUAGAAAGUAAAGAAUGAAGCAUGAUUGAUAAGCUUCAGAAUGAGGGUGAACUGGAUUCAAUUUCCUAUGCUUAACAUGCAAAGCAGAAAGUAUACAUGAUGGGGAAUGGUCAUGAGGCCUUGCCUUCAAGGUUGACAAUUUUGAAGGAAAUAAUAGAUUAGCGUGUAUGAAAUGGGUGGCGUGGGUAGGAUAGUAAGCAUGAAUAGUAUGGACAUAUAGUGUCUAUGUUCCUAUGACAAGUCCAAUCGUUGCUGGCAUUGAAGAUUCUCAUUUUCUACCUGGCUAAUUUGCAGUUCUGUCGAAUUUUAGGGGUAAAAUUUGUCUCAAUUGCUUUUUUGCUAAAUUGGAAAAAGUGUUUAUUUAUUGCAGAUUUGCGGUUUGGACUUUUAUAAGUGGUAUUAGAGUGGAGUUUGUUUGAAAUGAAAAUGCCUUGCUUUGUGGUCUAUUUGGACAAUUUAAUAUUCAAAGUAUUCAUUGCAAGACAAUGAUAUAGAUGGAUUUGUGAAAAUGCAUGAUGUUGUUCGAGAUAUUGCUCUAAUAGGCAAGAACUUUCUCAAUGGUACUUGCAAUGUCUAAGUAAGGAUUGCACCAGAAUUUCUUUGCCUUAUUAUAAUAUCGAAGAACUCCUUCAAUGUAUGGAAUGGCUAAAGCAAGAUUUGUACCAGAAUUUCUUUGUCUUAUUAUAAUAUCUAAGAACUCCUUCAAUAUAUGGAUUGGUUAAGCGAGCAAGGAUGGCACCAAAAUUUCAUUGCCUUACUGUGAUAUCCAAGAACUUCCUUAAUGGUACUUGAAAUGCCUAAGUGAGGAUUGCACCAUAAUUUCUUUGCCUUACUAUGAUAUCU
rnacentral:misc_RNA from 1 species